ACGUACACUCCUACGGGAGGCAGCAGUGGGGAAUAUUGCACAAUGGGCGCAAGCCUGAUGCAGCCAUGCCGCGUGUAUGAAGAAGGCCUUCGGGUUGUAAAGUACUUUCAGCGGGGAGGAAGGCGAUAAGGUUAAUAACCUUGUUGAUUGACGUUACCCGCAGAAGAAGCACCGGCUAACUCCGUGCCAGCAGCCGCGGUAAUACGGAGGGUGCAAGCGUUAAUCGGAAUUACUGGGCGUAAAGCGCACGCAGGCGGUCUGUCAAGUCGGAUGUGAAAUCCCCGGGCUCAACCUGGGAACUGCAUUCGAAACUGGCAGGCUAGAGUGUUGUAGAGGGGGGUAGAAUUCCAGGUGUAGCGGUGAAAUGCGUAGAGAUCUGGAGGAAUACCGGUGGCGAAGGCGGCCCCCUGGACAAAGACUGACGCUCAGGUGCGAAAGCGUGGGGAGCAAACAGGAUUAGAAACCCUGGUAGUCCCA
rnacentral:rRNA from 1 species